UACAGAGGGGGCAAGCGUUGUUCGGAAUUACUGGGCGUAAAGGGCGCGUAGGCGGCCUCUAAGUAGAACGUGAAAUCCCCGGGCUCAACCCGGGAACUGCGUCCGAUACUGGGAGGCUUGAAUCCGGGAGAGGGAUGUGGAAUUCCAGGUGUAGCGGUGAAAUGCGUAGAUAUCUGGAGGAACACCGGUGGCGAAGGCGGCAUCCUGGACCGGUAUUGACGCUGAGGCGCGAAAGCUAGGGGAGCAAACGGG
rnacentral:rRNA from 1 species